rnacentral:rRNA from 1 species
GAUGAACGCUGGCGGCGUGCCUAAUACAUGCAAGUCGAGUGAACAGAUGAGGAGCUUGCUCCUCUGACGUUAGCGGCGGACGGGUGAGUAACACGUGGAUAACCUACCUAUAAGACUGGGAUAACUUCGGGAAACCGGAUCUAAUACCGGAUAAUAUAUUGAACCGCAUGGUUCAAUAGUGAAAGACGGUUUUGCUGUCACUUAUAGAUGGAUCCGCGCCGCAUUAGCUAGUUGGUAAGGUAACGGCUUACCAAGGCAACGAUGCGUAGCCGACCUGAGAGGGUGAUCGGCCACACUGGAACUGAGACACGGUCCAGACUCCUACGGGAGGCAGCAGUAGGGAAUCUUCCGCAAUGGGCGAAAGCCUGACGGAGCAACGCCGCGUGAGUGAUGAAGGUCUUCGGAUCGUAAAACUCUGUUAUUAGGGAAGAACAAAUGUGUAAGUAACUAUGCACGUCUUGACGGUACCUAAUCAGAAAGCCACGGCUAACUACGUG